CUGCAUUCAUUAUCAUCCGUUCCGCAACAACAGUCCAGUUUUCUUCUCUUCUGUGAAGUGUGAAGAUUCUUCACAGAGGAAGCCGAGAUUAUUUUAUAAUACCUUUGCUUGUGCAAAUCUUCUUCCUCCUAAAGGGAGAUGGAUGCUUACCUGACGUGAACGGGCUGGGCAGUGGCGUCGGACAGCAGCUCCGAACCGAGCUUGCGGCGGCGACUUUUACCGACGGUGAGGAGAAACCGAAGGGAGAAAGAUGGAGGCAGCUUUGUGCUUUUUAUAUUGGGGAAUUGUAAUUCAUAAGUUGAGAUUUUAUUAGAGAGAUGAGAGUGAGAUUAAGGUUUUGCAAAAUUGUGUAUUGUAGAGGAGAGGCAGAGGGAGAAGCUGUUUUGGUGAGUUUCAGAGAGAGAGAACGUAGAUGUUUUGAGAUAAAAAAAAAUUGGGAGAGAGACGUGUGAUGUUUGGGAGUAUAUUAGACUACUGUUUUUUUUUCGUUUAGUUUGUGCAAUUGGGCCUCUUAUUAAAUUCUUUGGUAAUAAUAGGC